GUAUUGAGUCGAAGUUGUAUUGAGACAAAAGCGAGGCUAGAGGCAAUUAGCGUGACGAGAGCGACAGUUUGUAGUUGAACUCAUAGGAAUAUUAUUGCCAGUCCGGUAAAGAUAGCUGAGUAUGUCGGGUAAACUUCACCGCGAGUUUUACCUCCUGUAAGAUGGUCUGGAAAAAUUACCUCUUUAAAGUUUCAGCUCAUGUUAAUCACCCACCCCUUGCCGUCUACGGAGGGUCCUAUCGUGCAUGUGGUUAUGUUUGACUGAAUAUAGCAUUGCCCUAUCAUGCUCAUCCCCCGCCAAUCGUUUCCCUUGACGACAGGCCCUGAUGACCUUUGGCCGCAACACGGCAGGUGGCUGCAUGGCGGUGUCGGACGACCUGCUGACCGCACACUACACAGAGGACUACCAGGAGCAGCAGCUGCCCGACAACCCCGAGCGACUACAGUAAAUGGUGAUGAUGGUGCAGCUCCUGUGUGGACAUGCUCUGUUACAACAACACAACACCGAGCCAGAAGACGAAGCCGUAACAUAAGCAGCAGUUGCUGUUGAAUGACCGUGCUGACCUCCAAGCUGAGCUAUGGCAAGGCAGUGAACACAUCAGUGGUUUUGGACCAACCAGCUCUCCAGCUGCAUCACUGAAUCGGUGGAACUGCACAAACUACAAGUCUGCUGUGCCUCAUGCAUACUCCCGGUCGACCACAGUGCAAGAUUUAACUACUUAUAACAAGGGACAACAUGGCAUCCCCCACAUCCUU